rnacentral:rRNA from 1 species
GAUGAACGCUGGCGGCGUGCCUAAUACAUGCAAGUCGAGCGAACAGACGAGGAGCUUGCUCCUCUGACGUUAGCGGCGGACGGGUGAGUAACACGUGGAUAAUCUACCUAUAAGACUGGGAUAACUUCGGGAAACCGGAGCUAAUACCGGAUCAUAUAUUGAACAGCAUGGUUCAAUAGUGAAAGACGGUUUUGCUGUCACUUAUAGAUGGAUCCGCGCCGCAUUAGCUAGUUGGUAAGGUAACGGCUUACCAAGGCAACGAUGCGUAGCCGACCUGAGAGGGUGAUCGGCGAAACUGCAACUGAGACACGAACCUGACACCUACGCGAGGCAGCAGAAGGUGAUCUUCGGCAAAGGGCGGAAGCCUAACGGAGCCACCCCGCGUGAGUGGCAAAGGUCUUCGGAUCAUAAAACUCUGUUAUUAGGGAAGAACGAUUGUACAAGUAACUAUGCACUUCUUGACGAUACCAAAACAGAAAGGCACGGCUAACUACGUG